UUGACUUAUUUGAUAAGUUACUCAGAGAGGCCUAAAAAACAGAGUUUUGGGGUACCGCCGGCGGGCAGCCCCAGAGGGCCGGCGCCGCCGAGGCAACGGUUACGGGUAAUAUUCGCGAUGGUGUAAAGGGAGUUUUGCAACUCUUUAAUGAUCCCUCCGCUGGUUCACCAACGGAGA
rnacentral:misc_RNA from 1 species